rfam:Triticum aestivum genome assembly, contig: Triticum_aestivum_CS42_TGACv1_scaffold_224633_3B
AUUCUACUCCCUCUGUUGCACAAUACAUGCCUUCUAUUUGUCAAAAUAUAUAUGUAUCUAGACAUGUUUUAGUAUAUAGGUACAUCCAUUUUUGGACAAAUGGAAGUCAAGUAUAUUGGAACGGUGGGAGUACACA